rnacentral:rRNA from 1 species
AGUGAACGCUGGCGGUAGGCCUAACACAUGCAAGUCGAACGGCAGCACAGUAAGAGCUUGCUCUUACGGGUGGCGAGUGGCGGACGGGUGAGGAAUACAUCGGAAUCUACUUUUUCGUGGGGGAUAACGUAGGGAAACUUACGCUAAUACCUCAUACGACCUACGGGUGGAAGCAGGGGAUCUUCGGACCUUGCGCGAUUGAAUGAGCCGAUGUCGGAGUAGCUAGUUGGCGGGGUAAGGCCCACCAAGGCGACGAUCCGUAGCUGGUCUGAGAGGAUGAUCAGCCACACUGGAACUGAGACACGGUCCAGACUCCUACGGGAGGCAGCAGUGGGGAAUAUUGGACAAUGGGCGCAAGCCUGAUCCAGCCAUACCGCGUGGGUGAAGAAGGCCUUCGGGUUGUAAAGCCCUUUUGUUGGGAAAGAAAAGCAGCAGGUUAAUACCCCGCUGUUCUGACGGUACCCAAAGAAUAAGCACCGGCUAACUUCGUG